UUGAAUUAAACAUAACAUUAGGUUUUUAUUAUAUAAGGUGAUCAAACAAUUAUCUACUUGUCACAUAAAAAGGUAGAACACAAUGGCUAAAACUCUCAAGGUUGUUUACAUUGUGAUUCUUUUAGUGUCUCUAUUUCUUCUUUUAAUCGCAGCUAGUGCUAAACAGCCUUGUAAGUCACGCAAACAUUGUAAAACAUAUCGGUGUCCCACUCCUAAAGUCCCUAAUUGCGUUAACGGUUUUUGUAAAUGUGUUAGAAUUUGGUGAUGACAAGAAAUCAAUUGUGCUUGUGGAGUAGAGAUCCUUCGUUGAUGACUUGAAGCAAUAAGCGGUUGUGGUUAACUUACAUCUCAGAAGCAUUAUAGAAAAAAUAAGAGAUAGAUGUAUGUGUAUCAAAAUAAUUAAAUAUAAAUACACUUUUAUGUUUAUCAGA